rnacentral:tRNA from 3 species
GCGGGGUUAGUAUAGUGGUAAUAUACCUCCUUGCCAUGGAGGAGACGCGAGUUCGAUUCCCGUACCCCGCU